GGGGAUGACUGGAUUUGACAGCAAGCCGAGGUGAUGCGUAAGCAUGCAGAGAGUCGAUGCCCCUCUCUUAAAUCUCAGACAUCAAAGAAUUAAUUGGCGAAACUCGUUACGCUCUCGCUGCUUGAUCGAAGUUUAGUAAAUCGAGCCUAAUUCUCUCGCAAGGUCGAGGGAACGAGACAUCGCCCAGAAAGCCACUCGUCCUGAGGCGUUCUGACCAGCGGUGCUAUAAAUUCAGGAAUAGUUGACAGUAGCCUCGUGCUGCCAAUGAAGUUUUAGAGGAUAAGGAUGCAGUUGGUGGUCUUGGUCUUGCUGCAUCACGAAAACCAAAGGCAAGAAUAAGCAUGUAGAAAGCGUAUGGCUUCCUUGUUUGGACGAGGGUUCAAUCCCCUCCAUCUCCACA
rnacentral:tmRNA from 1 species